rnacentral:rRNA from 1 species
UACAGAGGGUCUCAAGCGUUGUUCGGAUUCAUUGGGCGUAAAGGGGUGCGUAGGCGGCGCGGUAAGUCGGGUGUGAAAUCUCGGGGCUUAACUCCGAAACUGCAUUCGAUACUACCGUGCUUGAGGACUGGAGAGGAGACUGGAAUUUACGGUGUAGCGGUGAAAUGCGUAGAUAUCGUAAGGAAGACCAGUGGCGAAGGCGGGUCUCUGGACAGUUCCUGACGCUGAGGCACGAAGGCCAGGGGAGCAAACGGG